GAUUGAAGGCUGAAAUUCGCCUUCAUGAAGCUGGAAUUGCUAGUAAUGGCAGGUCAGCAUACUGCCGUGAAUACGUUCCCGGGCCUUGUACACACCGCCCGUCACACCAUGAGAGUUGGGAAUACCCGAAGCCUGUGAGCUAACGUAAGAGGCAGCAGUCGAAGGUAGAAUCAAUGAUUGGGGUGAAGUCGUAACAAGGUAUC
rnacentral:rRNA from 1 species